rnacentral:sRNA from 1 species
AGGUUCCGGUUCUGUGGUGAUCUGGACUGUCCCGACUGGGUCUUGGCAGAAAUCAGCACGCUGGCCAAGAUGGUUGAGUGCACAGGGUCUAGUCUGGGUGGAGGAGGGGUGUUGGGCUGGGGAUUGUGGGUGUAGAGGAUGGUGAGGUUUCUCUGGGGUUAGGCCCUCAGUGCUCUCAGCCUGUGCUACCAUGCUUUGUGACCUUGAUCAGUGGCUGGCCUGCUCUGAGGCUGUCCCCAGGAAGGAGGGGUGAGGUUUGCCAGCCUGGCUGAUGUAAGGACUUCCCUUCCAGUCCUCUGUGAAGUUGCGGCUGCUCUGCAGCCAGGUACUAAAGGAGCUGCUGGGACAGGGAAUUGAUUAUGAGAAGAUCCUGAAGCUCACGGCUGACGCCAAGUUUGGUGAGUACCUUGCUGAGUCUACAGGCCCCAGGCAACCCUGCGAACUUGGCCUGGUACCUGGUACAGAGGGGCCCCCUACCCCUCCCAGCAGCAUCCUUAACUUACCUUCCGUAGUGGAGGAGCAUGAGGGAAAGAAAGACUGACAGUCCCACCUUCUUGUCCUCUGCCAGCUCCUGGUGGAGCAGUAGCAGUGCCUGUGGCUCCAGGAGGCCUGGGGACUUUGAGCUGAAGUUAAUAGGGCAAAAGGGAGGUGGCUGGGCCCACAGUGACACCCCCUGUCCCAUAUACGGGUCCCUCAGAGUCAGGUGAUGUGAAGGCCACAGUGGCAGUGCUGAGUUUCAUCCUCUCCAGUGCGGCCAAGCACAGUGUCGAUGGCGAAUCCUUGUCCAGUGAACUGCAGCAGCUGGGGCUGCCCAAAGGUACGGGUUGUGGGUGGGCAGCUGGGCAGCCUGUGGGCCAAGGGCUGCUAGAGAGGGGGACGGACCCUGAGGUGUACCCUGCCCUGUUUGGGCCAGGAGCCCAAGCUCAGCUCCCACCUGCUACCUCCAGAGCUACUCCAUUCUACCCCCAGAGCACGCGGCCAGCCUGUGCCGCUGUUAUGAGGAGAAGCAAAGCCCCUUGCAGAAGCACUUGCGGAUCUGCAGCCUACGCAGUAAGUAUGAGGCCAGCCAGGGUCCGGGCUCAUUCUAGAAGGUGCACGCAGCACGCAAAGUGCAUGGAGAGUCCAGGGAGACGACUUAACCAUGGUCACAUGGUUACUAGCAGCCGUAGAGCUGGGACCUGGCCCUGGGUCUCCUGACUCCCCCCAAGGUUUCUUGUCACUGAGGUCUGCUGUGGGUGAUCCAAACUUAUUAUCGGGCACUGCCCUGUUGUGAGCCUGGGUCAGCAAGAUGGGAGCUUCUUAGAGGCCACAUAGCCUUAAAAGGUUGAGAGCUGAGCCAGGGUGUCGGCUGAGGGCCACUUGUCUCGUCUGCUUUGAUCCUGAGAGCCACCCACCCCAUCUCACAGUGAAUAGGUUGGCAGGUGUGGGCUGGCGGGUGGACUACACCCUGAGCUCCAGCCUGCUGCGGUCCGUGGAAGAGCCCAUGGUGCACCUGCGGCUGGAGGUGGCAGCUGCCCCAGGGACCCCAGCCCAGCCUGUUGCCAUGUCCCUCUCAGCAGACAAGUUCCAGGUCCUCCUCGCAGAACUGAAGCAGGCCCAGACCCUGAUGAGCUCCCUGGGCUGAGGAGAAGGGUGUUGCAGGCCUGUGUGGAGCCGCCCUGCCCGUAUGGAGUCACACCCUCUGAACUGCUCUUUGGGAGGCAGCCCUGGUUCUAGGAUGCUGAGGCCCUGGCCUGGACUCUGGCCUCCCAGAUCCCCAGCUGCCUCACUUGUCUCUUGAGAACUCGGCUCAGGGCUCCUGAGGACCUUUCCCAGCAUUACCUUCCCUUCCCUUGAAAGGCAAUUGUUGGCUGUUUUCAUGAGCAGGAAAAAUAAACAGAACUAUAAA